rnacentral:rRNA from 1 species
GAUGAACGCUGGCGGCGUGCUUAACACAUGCAAGUCGAACGGUGAAGCAGGAGCUUGCUCUUGUGGAUCAGUGGCGAACGGGUGAGUAACACGUGAGCAACCUGCCCCUGACUCUGGGAUAAGCGCUGGAAACGGCGUCCAAUACUGGAUAUGUGAUGUGACCGCAUGGUCUGCAUCUGGAAAGAAUUUCGGUUGGGGAUGGGCUCGCGGCCUAUCAGCUUGUUGGUGAGAUAAUGGCUCACCAAGGCGUCGACGGGUAGCCGGCCUGAGAGGGUGACCGGCCACACGGGGACUAAGAAACGGCCCAGACUCCUACGGGAGGCAACAGUGGGGAAUAUUGCACAUUGGGCGGAAGCCUGAUGCAGCAACGCCGCGUGAGGGAUGACGGCCUUCGGGUUGUAAACCUCUUUUAGCAGGGAAGAAGCGAAAGUGACGGUACCUGCAGAAAAAGCACCGGCUAACUACGUGCCAGCCGCCGCCGUAA